AGUAUGAAUGAUCAAAUUAUGGGGAAAUUGGACCGAACUGAUUAUUCUGUGCUCUGAGGACAGCGACAAAGACAUGGUUUUAGACUUUUAGUACUUGCAGAAUAUAAUGAGGUUUGUCUCUUAAGAGUCCAUCUUUUUCAUUCUACUUCCAACAUAUCCAAAACCAGAGUUUAACAUUUUUGUGUAUACACACACCAAUCAUUCUUUACGUACUCAUGAAUCCUAUACAUUAGUUUUUUGCCGUUUGCCGUUUGCUGUUUCUACAAGUAGUAAGAAUCAAUGCUGCUAACAAUGAAGCAAUUUACAUGUAUUAGUUAAUAAUCCUAUUAAACAAAAUAGUGAAAUUGUAGAAGUGGAAUACAAGAGCAGUAUUCGUGGCCCAUGUGGUUAUAAACAUAUAAAUAAUAUACGUCGUCAUGCAUUCAAAGAUCAUAGUCACUAUACUUACUCGUGUAUUUAACAUCGUGUAGCAAACUUCGCCUUGAGGAUCUCUCUCUACCCUUUCCCUGUCGGCAAGUAACACCAACAACCGAGAAAACACCAAAAAAUGAACUUCACGUGUCAUAAACUGAGACCAGGUGGUCGUGAUGCGCACUACUGACAGAGUAACAUUUCGUUAACCAAAGCCUUUUUUCAAAAAAAAAAAAAAACAUUUCGUUAACCAAAUAAUAACAUAGAAAGAUUGAAUAAUAAUUCCACCGAAACGUACACGUAGCCUUGUCCUUCCUUUUGAAGCUCGUUCAUCGACAUGCAGCUUUAUAAUAUGCUUUAGUUUUUCACUCGCUAAUCGCUAUAUUUUUUUUUUCAUGACACACACAUGGGUUCUUCUUUCUUAAUUUCUGUUUCUAACCAGGCUUGUUUUUUUUUAUCUCACAUGAUUUUACAACGCAUAUACAACAUGUCACGUAUACCUAGUACACGUAUUAUUAUCAGCGGCACUGUGGCAGGCUAUGAAAGGAAGAUAUUGACCUUGGUGUACCUAGUACACGUAUUAUUAGUAUUAACAUUUUAUACGCGCAAAUACGUAUAACCAACUAAAGUACGUAAAUGAGCCUUUGUGCAAAUGCCAUAAAAUAUAUCUGAGUGCAAAUGCCAUAAAAUACGUAUAACCAACCCAUCGAUGUUAAAAUACGUGAGUGUAAUUAAAUAUAUCUUUUUGGUAAUGGUUAAAUUUUUGAGUAAGACUUGCUUUUAUAGUAAGACUAAAGUUGUUUUUUACAAAUAUACUGUUAUAUAAAAAUGCUAUGUACCUAGUCAUAUACCGAUUCGUCCACAUUAAGAGCUAACAUCAUUCCUCUCACCUAUUAGUAGCUCUCCUUUUAUAUCUCCCAACAAACAUGUACAAACAUAAAACUUCUCGUCGGCUCAUUAUCCGUAUAUACACUUUUGUACACCCUUUAAUUUCCACUCAUAUUAAAGUCUCUCCUACCAAUUAUUACAAGUUUUGAUUAUUUGCAGUGAUCAUUGGAUAUGGGUCGGGCCAAAUUGGAGAUAAAGCCGAUACAGAAGAGUACGAACAGGCAAAUUACGUACUCAAAACGUAAAAAAGGUUUAAUGAAAAAGGCCUAUGAGUUGUCAACACUUUGUGAUAUCGAUCUUGCCCUACUCAUGUUUUCCCCAUCUGAUCGCCUAUGUCUCUUUUCCAGUCAGACCAGGAUUGAAGACGUUCUUGCGAAGUACAUCAAUCUCCCUGAUCAAGAAAGAGAGAAUGCUAUAGUUUUCCCUGAUCGAAGCAAACGCCAAGGUAUCCAAAACAAAGAGUAUUUGUUAAGGACUCUUGAACAAUUCAAAACGGAGAACGACAUGGCCUUCCAAAUCAACGAACCUCGCCAUGAAGCUAUCCACUCCGAUGUCGAGGAACUUGAGAAAGAGCUUUGUAGAUUACAACAACAGCUUCAGAUUUCUGAGGAAGAACUGAGGAAAUUCGAACCCGAUCCAGUGAGGUUUACAUCAAUGGAGGAAAUGGGAGCAUGUGAAAAUCAUCUACUUAGUACUCUUACUCGUGUGGUUCAGAGAAGGGUAACUAACACGAACAUUUGUUGAGCAGAUCCUGCGAAGCACCAAGUACCCAACAGAGCAUGGAAAAUAUUGAAGGCUGGGAGCAUGAGGCUGAGUUCAAACAAGCCCGUAUAUAUAAUAGCGAACUCAGCCAAUGCAUCAAAUCAGUUAAGUUAUGAUCUGCCGUUGCAAGGAAUCAUCUCAAAUCCAACCCAAACUCCAAAAUGAUGUUUGGGUGAAUCGCAAAAAAUGCAAUGUUGUUGACAAAAAUAAAACGGUGCGUAUUUCCUAUGUCAGUGCCUAAACUCCUAUGGUUUUUAUCUUUCAGAUUCUGAAGUCUGAACUAUUUGUAUAAUAAAGUUUGAAAAUGUCAUUUUGUUAGAACUUAGAACCAUAAUUGCUACGUUUUUUUC